rnacentral:rRNA from 1 species
CAGUCGCCACGGUAAUACGUAGGUCCCGAGCGUUGUCCGGAUUUAUUGGGCGUAAAGCGAGCGCAGGCGGUUAGAUAAGUCUGAAGUUAAAGGCUGUGGCUUAACCAUAGUACGCUUUGGAAACUGUUUAACUUGAGUGCAAGAGGGGAGAGUGGAAUUCCAUGUGUAGCGGUAAAAUGCGUAGAUAUAUGGAGGAUCACCGGAGGCGAAGGCGGCUACCUGGACAGUAACUGACGCUGAGGCACGAAAGCGUGGGGAGCAAAUAGGAUUAGAUACCCCUGUAGUCCCUGUCUCUUAUAAC